AAAAGAAACCAACAGGGAUUGCCCUAGUAACGGCGAGUGAAGCGGCAACAGCUCAAAUUUGAAAUCUGGCCCUCGGGUCCGAGUUGUAAUUUGUAGAGGAUGCUUUUGGCGCGGUGCCUUCCGAGUUCCCUGGAACGGGACGCCUUAGAGGGUGAGAGCCCCGUACGGUUGGACACCAAGCCUCUGUAAAGCUCCUUCGACGAGUCGAGUAGCUUGGGAAUGCUGCUCUAAAUGGGAGGUAAAUUUCUUCUAAAGCUAAAUAUUGGCCAGAGACCGAUAGCGCACAAGUAGAGUGAUCGAAAGAUGAAAAGCACUUUGAAAAGAGGGUUAAACAGCACGUGAAAUUGUUGAAAGGGAAGCGUUUGCGACCAGACCUUUUCCUAGCGGAUCAUCCGGUGUUCUCACCGGUGCACUUCGCUAGGUCUAGGCCAGCAUCGGUUUCUGUAGGGGGAUAAAAGCUCUGGGAACGUAGCUCCUCCGGGAGUGUUAUAGCCCUCUGCAUAAUACCCUUACGGGGACCGAGG
rnacentral:rRNA from 1 species